rnacentral:rRNA from 1 species
UACAGAGGGUGCGAGCGUUAAUCGGAAUUAUUGGGCGUAAAGCGCGUGUAGGCGGCCAGAUAAGUCCGCUGUGAAAUCUCGAGGCUCAACUUCGAGCUGUCGGUGGAAACUGUCUGGCUAGAGUCCGGAAGAGGAGAAUGGAAUUCCUGGUGUAGCGGUGAAAUGCGCAGAUAUCAGGAAGAACACCCGUGGCGAAGGCGGUUCUCUGGGACGGUACUGACGCUGAGACGCGAAAGCGUGGGGAGCGAACAGG